UACGGGGGGAGCAAGCGUUGUUCGGAUUUACUGGGCGUAAAGGGCGCGUAGGCGGUCGUGACAAGUCACUUGUGAAAUCUCCGGGCUUAACUCGGAACGGUCAAGUGAUACUGUCGGACUAGAGUACAGAAGGGGGCAACUGGAAUUCUCGGUGCAGCGGUGAAAUGCGUAGAUAUCGAGAGGAACACCUGCGGCGAAGGCGGGUUGCUGGGCUGAUACUGACGCUGAGGCGCGAAAGCCAGGGGAGCGAACGGG
rnacentral:rRNA from 1 species